rnacentral:rRNA from 1 species
UACGGGGGGGGCGAGCGUUAUUCGGAAUUAUUGGGCGUAAAGGGCGCGUAGGCGGCCGCGUAAGUCAAAGGUGAAAUCCCUCAGCUCAACUGAGGAACUGCCUUUGAUACUGCAUGGCUUGAGGCCGGGAGGGGGUAGCGGAAUUCCCAGUGUAGCGGUGAAAUGCGUAGAUAUUGGGAGGAACACCAGUGGCGAAGGCGGCUACCUGGACCGGUGCUGACGCUGAUGCGCGAAAAGCGUGGGGGAGCAAACAGGG